GAGGUCCAGCUGAAGCAGCCUGGAACUGUGGUGGUGAAACCUGGGGCUUCAGUGAAGAUAUCCUGCCAGGCUUCUGGUUACUCAUUUACUGGCUACUACAUGCACUGGGUGAAGCAGAGCCAUGAAAAGAGCCUUUAGUGGAUUCUACUUAUUAUUCCUUACAAUGGUGAUACUAGCAACAACCAGAAGUUCAAGGGCAAAGCAACAUUGACUGUAGACAAGUCCUCCAGCACAGCCAACAUGGAGCUCUGCAGCCUGACAUCUGAGGACUCUACGGUCUAUUACCGUGCAAGACU